AGCUGUUAAAACAUAAGUAUAGCCACACCCUACCUAGUUAAUAUGAUCUUCUUUAGCAUGCAAUGUAUAUCAUUUUCUGGAAUGAUCUUUUUAAAGGCAAAUAUUCAGUAUGCUGUUUACUUGGAGGUUUUCUCAUUAUUUACAUGUGUUCUUUCCCAAGAUGAAAGUGGAUCAGUGUGAGUCAACUCCUCACAUUCUUUGACAGUUUGAAGCGGAACUUACUACACAUCUCUUCUAAAACCAAUGGUGGCAAAAUGAAAGUAACAAAAGAGAUGAACAAGACCCGUGCUGUAGAAGAUCAGACGAGCAAAAGGGGAUUCACAGCCGCAGAACAGAGGCAGAAAAGUCCCUCGCUCUUAGCCGCAGCUUCUUGGAGCAGGGGAGGGAACAAGGGCUUUGGGGGCUCUCCUGCAAGUAUUGUCUGACUGCAGCAUGGACGGCUGAGUCUGCCUCACGGUGCUGCGGAGAGCCUGAUGCUUCAGCUUUGUGCCGGGAACAGCAGUACUUUUUAAACUCUGAGGAUGUACUGGGACCUUCAAGGCUCUCUCAGAUGCCCCAGGGUAGACUUUAGAAGAGUGAUCCUCCAGCCUCACAUGCGUUACGGUUUUCCAGAGCGUUUACUACAACACAGAUUUCUGCCCCCUCGCACCUCUGUCACUACCUCUAGGUUUCUGACCCAGUAGGUCUGGACAGAGCCAUAGAAUCUGCUUUGCGGAAUGUCCCCAGGUGCCAUUGCUGGUUUGGGGACACUGUUUGGAGGGCCAUAAACUUAGAGGAAUGGGUAUCAAGGAGGGGUUCGAAAAC
rnacentral:lncRNA from 1 species